GUCCUGGCCGUAAACGAUGGAUACUAGGUGUCGGGGGUAUCGACCCCUCCGGUGCCGCAGCUAACGCAUUAAGUAUCCCGCCUUGGGAGUACGGCCGCAAUGUUGAAACUCAAAGGAAUUGACGGGGGCCCGCACAAGCGGUGGAGCAUGUUGUUUAAUACGUCACUAACCGUAGAACCUUACCAGGGCUUGACAUCCGUUGACCUCCCAUGAAAGUGGGCUUUCCCCGCAAGGGGACAGCGAGACAGGUGUUGCAUGGCUGUCGU
rnacentral:rRNA from 1 species